AGUGGUCCUGGCUCUAGGGAGUGUGCUGCCCGCCGCACCUGGGCUGCGGGGAGCGGAGGCAGGCAGCUUCUGGCCCUGGAGGUGGGGACUCACAGGAUAUUAGGAGGCCCCAAGGGGGUUCCAAUGCCCCCACCUCCACUCCUGCCCCAAGAAACGGUGAAAUAGACACGAAGAAGGAAGCUGAGACCAGAGAGGGAAAGAGACUUGGCCAAGGCCCACAGCCUGGUGGGGAUGACUCCGUGGGCUGAGAGUCCCUAUCGAGGAGUCCCCGUCUUCCCCAGACCUUCUUGCUCAGCAGGGCCGUUGUAAAUGGAGGUGAGUUGGAGGUGAGUCAUUUAGACUCUCAGGAAACCAAGCCUAGUCCAAUAUUAAUCAUGGAACCAGAGACACUGAGUGCAAGAAGGAAAUGGAACCAACCGAUGGUGGCAGCAGCUUCAUCGGAGGUGCAGGCGAGGAGAGCGCACCCAUGGGUGCGUCCGUGCAGGGAGGUCUGAGAGUAAAAGUCCAAGAAAAGCCGAGUGCGGUGACUCACAUCUGUAAUCUCAGCACUUCGGGAAGCCAAGAGGGGCAGAUUGCUUGAGCCCAGGAGUUUGAGACCCGCCUGAGCAAGAUAGCAAAACCCCAUCUCUACUAAAAAUGCAAAAAUUAGCCAAGUGUGGUGGUACUUACUGUAAUUCCAGCUACUUGGUAGGCUGAGAAAGGAGGACUGCUUGAGCCCUAGAGGUCAAGACUGCAGUGAGACACGAUUGCACCACUGUACUCCAGGCUGGGUGAUAGAGCCAGACCCUGUCAAAAAAAAAAAAAAUCCAUGGGAAAACGGAUGCUCAGAGAAGAAAUUGGCCUAAGCCAUCCAGUAAGUUCCAGAUUCAAACCCAGGUUUGUGAGUCUAGAGUGAGCCUCUGCCCUGGUGGUCGCAG
rnacentral:lncRNA from 1 species